ACUACGUGAAUGGGAGAAAAAAAAAAGAGAAAACCAACCAACUAAAAAGGAUCAAAAUCUGUGGUUUUAUCGUCCGCCGUCGCUCUUAUGAGAAUUUUUUAAAUUUUUUUUUUUUGGCUUUCCUUUCAAUUUAUGAUGAACAAAAAUCUGCCUACGUAUCCCCUCCUUUCCAAAGAGCGGUGAAACAAAAGCAGGGGACAAUUUUUUUUU
rnacentral:ribozyme from 1 species